UUAGAUGAGCCAGAAAUGGGAAGAAGAAAAUUCUAAGAUGAGUUUUAAUUUCAUUAUGCUAUUCUAGCCUGAAAAAAGCCAUUCUGUCCAUAAGACCCCAAAUCCAGAAGACAUUGACAAUGAACCAUAGCUGCUGUCUUCAUUGUCUUCAAGAAAAAUAUUCUGGAUCACUAUAGUAUUUUUCUACUCUGAAAAUUAAAAAUAGUUAACAGAGCCAUAACCUGUCAGGGAGAUCAGGGUUUUUUCCCCUUGGACACUGAAAUUAGAUGGUGUGUAAUUCAGCCCUUGAAGUUCUUCACUGCUCUAGGAUUAGUUUCUCCCUCUCAAACAUAUUCUCCUGGGUAGUGAUAUUAUAUUGAUUUAUUGAAUGGUAUCCUUUAUUCUCCCUAUCAAGUGUGAACCUUAAAAAUUCCCAGACCCCACUUUAUAAGAUUGGAUUAAGACCAUUCCCCAUUUGGGCAAUGAAAUGUGAGAACUCUACUUAGAUCAGAAAUGGGAAGACCUCUACUCCACCAGUACUUAAGACUGCUUUGGGGAGAAAACUCCUUGCUAAAUAAUGAAAGUACUUAAACCCAUACUUAUAAUGAGGCAAAAAGUUCUUUAAGCCAUGCCUAUUUUUAAAAGUAAUACAAAGGGGUGCUAAGUACCUAUUAAAGGUCAGGCAACUUGUGAAUUUACAGGGAGCAAAGAGAUGAAAACUUAUUCAGAAGUUUUUUCUGGUUCAAAGUUACUAAAGGGAUUAGUCGACUCAGCUGUGAAUUCAGAAUGGGCUGUCCUUUGGAAAACAUCUACUGUGAUUGGUAGAUGGAAGAACUUAGGGGAGGUGACAUAGGAGAAAACACCCUAUAUAAGAAAAAGGAUCUCUUGAGAAAGACAGCUCUCUGGAGAGACAGGCUCUAAGGAGGGUCUCUUGAGAAGAAUCUCUCGAAGGACAAUCUCUAAGGAGGUCUCUCAAGGGAGGCUGACUCUGGCUGGAACUCCCUCUGGGGAGACUCUGUCCCCCAGAAUCCUCGCUUGAACAGAUCUUAUGACAAAUGAGUAUUAGAAGCAGAUGGACCAGAUUGUGAUCUUAUAAGCUUUAAAGAUCAGAAGAAUGCGCAGAGAUCCAGCAACUGGGGUCUACAGCUGAGUCAAAUGAUGAACCAUCCCUGAGGAUAUAACCUGUUUGACCCAGUCCAGCAGUAAGUCAGCAUAGCUGCCGAACACACAGGAAUCCGGAAAGCAAGGGAACAACUGCUCCCUUAUCUACGCCACACCCAAAAGUGAACUUUUGGUGGCAGGAAUGAUUGACAACCCAAACUUCUAAGACUGAGUUCACUCUCCUGGAAAUGAGAGGAUAGAAGACAGUCGGCUUCCAGUUUCUGAGAUGAUUGUAUUUCAGUUUGUACUAAACUUUCUCAGUUCAUGCCUCUUUGUAAAAACAAAACGAUGCUAAUUGGUUCAUUGAUGUUGUAGAGAUCAGAUAGUCAGAUGACACUAGAUAGAUAUUAACUGGUGAAUUCUAUUGGGGGAAAACAACAGAAAAAGGGAACAACAAUAGUCCUAGGCAACCAUUCCCAGACCUUUGAAGGAUAUCCCUAGAACCUGGAGGAGUGAUGUAGUUGGCUGAGCUGUGAAUGGGAGAGUGAACCCAUAGCCUAUAUGCUACAAAGACAAAGGGGUGUCUUCUAUAUGGCUGCUAACAGCCUGGACUGACUAACAGGCAAACUCAGCCUCUUAUGAACUUUAGGAGGGUGAUCAAUUUUUUUUUUAAUCAAGGACUUUUACUGAUUCUUCUUUACUAAAUAAAAGAUGGUGUGUUAUGUAAUGGGUUUAGAAAUGUAUUUAGUUAAAAAUAUGUUUAAAUGUAUGAACAUUUCAAAGAAGGUCUAAUCAUUUGUAUAUUUAAAAGGAAAGAUUUGCUUGCUUUUAAUCUGAGUAAAGUGUAAUGCUUUUA